rnacentral:rRNA from 2 species
GACUCACAGCAACGGAUAUCUCAGCUCUCGCAUCGAUGAAGAACGUAGCAAAAGGCGAUACCUGGUGUGAAUUGCAGAAUCCCGCGAACCAUCAAGUCUUUGAACGCAAGUUGCGCCCGAGGCCACUCGGCCGAGGGCACGCCUGCCUGGGCGUCA